UACGUAGGGGGCAAGCGUUGUCCGGAUUUAUUGGGCGUAAAGAGCGUGUAGGCGGCCUGACAGGUCUGCUGUGAAAACUCGAGGCUCAACCUCGAGACGUCGGUUGAAACCACCUGGCUAGAGUCCGGAAGAGGAGAGUGGAAUUCCUGGUGUAGCGGUGAAAUGCGCAGAUAUCGGGAGGAACACCAGUGGCGAAGGCGACUACCUGGCCUGUUCUUGACGCUGAGGCGCGAAAGCUAGGGGAGCGAACAGG
rnacentral:rRNA from 1 species